AGCGUGCAAAUUUUAAAGUUUGUGUAUGACCCCAAAUAUGUCCCUUUACAUAUUGCUUUCAUAUUUUGCAUACUUGUUUACCAACAUGACCCAAACCUAUAAACAAGAGCAGACAACUGUAUCAAGCAUUUUGUAAGAAUUAUGGCCCUUUUUAUACGCCCGUAUAAAAUACGGGACGUAUUAUGUGAAACCCCUUGGCGGGCGGCGGGCGGAAGGCAUCACUUUGUCCGGACUCUAAUUCAAAUUGUAUUCAUCCGAUCUUCACCAAACUUGGUCAGCAGUUGCAUCUAGUUGAUAUCUAGGCCAAGUUCGAAUAUGGGUCAUGCCGGGUCAAAAACUAGGUCAUAGGGUCAAUUAGUGCAUUUUCAACGGCGCCACUUUGUCCGGACUCUAAUUCAAAUAGUUUUCAUCCGAUCUUCACCAAACUUGCUCAGAAGUUGAGUCUAGACAAUAUCUAGGCCAAGUUGGAAUAUGGGUCAUGCC